AGAGUUUGAUCAUGGCUCAAGACGAACGCUGGCGGCGUGCUUAACACAUGCAAGUCGAACGGAAAGGCCCUUUCGGGGGUACUCGAGUGGCGAACGGGUGAGUAACAGGUGGGUGAUCUGCCCUGCACUUCGGGAUAAGCUUGGGAAACUGGGUCUAAUACCGGAUAGGACCAUGCCAUGCAUGUGGUGUGGUGGAAAGCUUUUGCGGUGUGGGAUGGGCCCGCGGCCUAUCAGCUUGUUGGUGGGGUGAUGGCCUACCAAGGCGACGACGGGUAGCCGGCCUGAGAGGGUGUCCGGCCACACUGGGAUUGAGAUACGGCCCAGACUCCUACGGGAGGCAGCAGUGGGGAAUAUUGCACAAUGGGCGCAAGCCUGAUGCAGCGACGCCGCGUGGGGGAUGACGGCCUUCGGGUUGUAAACCUCUUUCACCAUCGGCGAAGCCCAUGAUUUUUGUUGUGGGUGACGGUAGGUGGAGAAGAAGCACCGGCCAACUACGUGCCAGCAGCCGCGGUAAUACGUAGGGUGCGAGCGUUGUCCGGAAUUACUGGGCGUAAAUAGCUCGUAGGUGGUUUGUCGCGUUGUCCGUGAAAUUCCCUGGCUUAACUGGGGGCGUGCGGGCGAUACGGGCAGACUGGAGUACUGCAGGGGAGACUGGAAUUCCUGGUGUAGCGGUGGAAUGCGCAGAUAUCAGGAGGAACACCGCUGGCGAAGGCGGGUCUCUGGGCAGUAAUUGACGCUGAGGAGCGAAAGCGUGGGGAGCGAACAGGAUUAGAUACCCUGGUAGUCC
rnacentral:rRNA from 1 species